GACGAACGCUGGCGGCGUGCUUAACACAUGCAAGUCGAACGGAAAGGCCCUGCUUUUGUGGGGUGCUCGAGUGGCGAACGGGUGAGUAACACGUGAGUAACCUGCCCUUGACUUUGGGAUAACUUCAGGAAACUGGGGCUAAUACCGGAUAUGAGCUCCUGCUGCAUGGUGGUGGUUGGAAAGUUUCGGCGGUUGGGGAUGGACUCGCGGCUUAUCAGCUUGUUUGUGGGGUAGUGGCUUACCAAGGCUUUGACGGGUAGCCGGCCUGAGAGGGUUAACGGGCACAAUGGGACUGAGAUACGGCCCAGACGCCUACGGGAGGCAGCAGGGGGGAAUAUUGCAGAAUGGGCGGAAGCGUGAUGCAGAAACGCCGCGUGCGGGAUGACGGCCUUCGGGUUGUAAACAGCUGUCGCAUGUGACGAAGCGUGAGUGACGGUAAUGGGUAAAGAAGCACCGGCUAACUACGUG
rnacentral:rRNA from 1 species